UUAGUGAUAAUUAGCUAAACCGCUUCCUCGCGCUGCUUUGCCACCGUCCGCACAUAGCCUACUUUUAUUAAUUAGACCACAUCAUUUCGACGUUUGAGUCGUUACUUUGUGUGAAAACAUUUUCAAACAUCGCUCUAAAUAAUAUUAUUAACCCCCCAGCCCCAUGUCGUCGAUUCAACGUGCAGCUGCUACGCAAUCAGUUUUUUUCUGCCUCCUUCUAUGUUUUUUGUCGCAUUGGAUUUAAAGGCGCAGCGGAGUUGGAUAUUACUGGGACCCAAGUUAUAGGCUAGGUGUUGGCUGCUGUGUGCGUGUGAAAAGGGGAAAUCGGGGAAACAUGAUUUUCAGUAACUCGCACAGUGUCCUCCGGUGAGUUUGGGAUACGGGACGCUGAAAACGUCGACAGGGACGUCGAGAAAGCCGGGGAUCAAACUGGAAGGCGUCCAGCUGGCAGGCUGAGCAGUAGUGGGCCUCACAAAACAGAGGACGCAGUGAAGGACACUGGGAUAGCCUAUCCAGACACCCACCCCUGCUGGAUUAUGGGUAACCAUACUGGCAAAGAGACCCAUGGCACUACAGGUUCUCCUUUAGAUUUCUUCCACACACCUCCUACCACGCCCUCAGAGGCAGAUCUCGCUGCCAUGGCCUUGUCAUCUGCAGCUUCCUCUAAGAAGACACAGACACCAUCUCCAGCUGGCAGCACCACCCCCUCCGCCACCUCUUCAGUCGCUGACUGGACACAGAAACUGUCUUCUCCCUCAGAAUGGGCUGUGAUAAGUGUAGACAGUAUCAGCUACUCUGAGACAAAGGUGAGCGAUGCAGCAGCGAGCCACAGGAAGGCGAAGCUCAGCCCGGGCAGCCCGGCGUCCCUGCCUUCAGAGCAGAGCUGGCAGGAGCAGGAUAGUGGAAUGGAGCCGCAGGCUGCAGCAGAGAGAGUCAGAGAGGAGAUGACCCUGGUUUUAAUCAGUCUGAUGGACCACUACAGGGCCUCACUAGGCCUGACCCCCAACACUGAUGUUACCACAGGCGCAGUAGAGCUGCUCAGGCGUUUGAUAACAGAGAAAGAUGAGCUGGUUGAGGAGGUGGACACACUGAGGGAGACACUGAGGACGGAAAGGUUGGAGUGGCAUCAGUUUCAGUGUGACCUGCAGGUUGCUGUGUCUGUGGCUGACCGGCUGCGGGUCGAGUCGGAGCAAGCUCUGGGUUUGCUCCAGGAGAGCCACAGGGCUGUGGAGGAGCAGUUGGCUCAGGCCCUCAUCAGACAGCAGGAGAAGGAUGGAGAGCUGGAGAGUCUGAGAUCCGAGCACAGAGACGUCUGCCUCAAACUAAGAGAACUCACCCUGCAGCAGCAGCAGGAGCGGGCCGAGCUGGACGCUCUGAGAAACGCUUACAGGGUGAAAGACGUAACAGAUUGUGAUGAGAAGGCGGAGAGACAAGACUCUGAUGGGGGGGAGGAAAUACAAGAAGUCUUGGAGGAAAAGCCCAGGGAAGUUCAAACUGACACUGAAGCUAAAAAUGUUGAAAAACAAAGAGAGGAGAAUGAAACAAAUCAAGAGGUAGAUGCUGAAGUUGUAGGUCAUGAUCCUGAGGAGGCAAAUGGAUCAGGGAGCAUGUACCUGAGAGGCAAAGGGGUGGCGGAGGGAUACCUUCGUAGUUUGGCUGCUCUGGAGAAAAAGAAAGAAGGGGGACGUGGGCAGAAAGAUCCGAGGAGGAUUGUGAUGCUUUGUGAAAGAUCUUGGAGUCUCUCUCGUCUCCCACUCUCAUCUGACUCCUCCAGUGAGAAAGGGACCUCAAAAAACACAAGCACAACGUUGCCACUAUGCAAGAAAGAAGAACCACCAAAACAGAGACGGAUAGACCGAAUUUUACAGCGGCAGGACAGCUGGUCCAGUUUUUACACAGGAAAACAGGAUGAGGACCAAAGCACAGAUUCCAUCAAACCUCAGGAUGGUUUCAGUGCUCUGCUGAGGCGUCAUGGCGGCUCCAGAAGAAACUCCCUGCUGCGCUGGUGCCAGAGUCGUACACAAGGUUAUAAGAAUAUUGAGAUCACAAACUUCAGCAGCAGCUGGGAGGACGGCAUGGCGUUCUGUGCUGUUUAUCACACUUAUUUGCCGACUCUCAUCCCGUACGACACCCUAAACCCAGCAGACAAGGAUUCUUGCACACUGUUGCGUUUUGGUCCUCAGACAACCUGAUGAAGGUCAAAGGACCAAAGCAUCGUUAAUGGAAAGGAAAAUCUGGACCUUGCUUUUAAGACCGGAGAGAGUGUGGGAAUCACUGCAGCACUGACAGCGGAGGAGAUGCUGAAGGAAGACGGGCCGGACUGGCAGAAGGUCUUGGGUUAUGUCGAAAGCAUUUUCCGUCACUUU